AUGAUGUGGUUUAAUUCGAUGCAACGCGAAAACCUUACCCACCUUUGACAUGUACGGAAGUUGCCAGAGAUGGCUUCGUGCUCGAAAGAGAGCCGUAACACAGGUGCUGCAUGGCUGUCGUCAGCUCGUGUCGUGAGAUGUUGGGUUAAGUCCCGCAACGAGCGCAACCCUUGUCAUUAGUUGCUACGAAAGGGCACUCUAAUGAGACUGCCGGUGACAAACCGGAGGAAGGUGGGGAUGACGUCAAGUCCUCAUGGCCCUUAUAGGUGGGGCUACACACGUCAUACAAUGGCUGGUACAAAGGGUUGCCAACCCGCGAGGGGGAGCCAAUCCCAUAAAGCCAGUCGUAGUCCGGAUCGCAGUCUGCAACUCGACUGCGUGAAGUCGGAAUCGCUAGUAAUCGUGGAUCAGCAUGUCACGGUGAAUACGUUCCCGGGUCUU
rnacentral:rRNA from 1 species